rnacentral:rRNA from 1 species
ACUCCUACGGGAGGCAGCAGUGGGGAAUAUUGCACAAUGGGCGGAAGCCUGAUGCAGCAACGCCGCGUGCGGGAUGACGGCCUUCGGGUUGUAAACCGCUUUCAUCCAUGACGAAGCUUUUUGUGACGGUAGUGGGAGAAGAAGCACCGGCUAACUACGUGCCAGCAGCCGCGGUGAUACGUAGGGUGCGAGCGUUGUCCGGAUUUAUUGGGCGUAAAGAGCUUGUAGGCGGUUUGUCGCGUCGGGAGUGAAAACUCAGGGCUUAACUCUGAGCUUGCUUUCGAUACGGGCUGACUUGAGGAAGGUAGGGGAGAAUGGAAUUCCUGGUGAAGCGGUGGAAUGCGUAGAUAUCAGGAGGAACACCGGUGGCGAAGGCGGUUCUCUGGACCUUUCCUGACGCUGAGAAGCGAAAGCGUGGGGAGCAAACAGGAUUAGAUACCCUGGUAGGCUCU